GACGAACGCUGGCGGCGUGCCUAAUACAUGCAAGUAGAACGCUGAAGGAGGAGCUUGCUCUUCUGGAUGAGUUGCGAACGGGUGAGUAACGCGUAGGUAACCUGCCUGGUAGCGGGGGAUAACUAUUGGAAACGAUAGCUAAUACCGCAUAAGAGUAGAUGUUGCAUGACAUUUACUUAAAAGGUGCAAUUGCAUCACUACCAGAUGGACCUGCGUUGUAUUAGCUAGUUGGUGGGGUAACGGCUUACCAAGGCGACGAUACAUAGCCGACCUGAGAGGGGGAUCGGGCACACUGGGACUGAGACACGGCCCAGACUCCUACGGGAGGCAGCAGUAGGGAAUCUUCGGCAAUGGACGGAAGUCUGACCGAGCAACGCCGCGUGAGUGAAGAAGGUUUUCGGAUCGGAAAGCUCUGUUGUAAGAGAAGAACGAGUGUGAGAGUGGAAAGUUCACACUGUGACGGUAUCUUACCAGAAAGGGACGGCUAACUACGUG
rnacentral:rRNA from 1 species